UAUAUUUUCAUAAUUUAAGCAAGUAAAUCAUUAUAGUUGUUUGUAUGAUUCUCUCUCUUUCUAGGGUUUAUCAGGGAUCUAUAUGCAGAGUCAUUUUGGCAUUCUGUCCACCUCCAUUCUUCACAAGUUUCCUUUUUUAGCUCUCACCGCUUUAAAAUCUUUCGUUUUGGAGGCGGCCAGAAUGACAAAGUAGCUCUGUGAAUUUUUCUCUGAGAAAUUCUGAAAGCAUUCUGUGUAAAUUUAAGUUUUUUAGUCAUCCUUGUUUUAUUUUUGACUUCAAAUACACAUUUCGUCAGGCUGAUAAGUUUCUUCUUCCUCUUGGCGUCGGGGUAAUCUGGACAUACACAGUGGCUCAUCCAGAAGAUUCAGGCUUUGGAUUCCUACACGCAUUAACCUGGAAAUGGGCAAACUAAGUCACCUUUUUUCUCAUAAUUUUAUGGGUUCUUCCUGCAACAUACAGCCUCACUCUUUCGGAGGCAAUAAGCAAUGAACUCGAUUAUUUUUCCUAGUUUUUACUUGAAGAAGUUUUAUAAUAAUCUCAUGAAUUACUGUUCUUGCUAGAUGCAUUCAUCAUGUAAUCUUAUAACAUUAUCUAUUAAAUUUAGCAUAACACGAAACAUAUACAUGCAUAAA